UAGCAAUACCGAAGAAAAUUUAGUGGCGAACGGGUGCGUAACACGUGGGCAAUCUGCCUUAAAGUGGGGGAUAGCUCGGCGAAAGCCGGAUUAAUACCGCAUGUGAUUACUGAAGACAUCUUCGGAACAUCAAAGUCGGGGCAACCUGACGCUUUUUGAGGAGCCCGCGGCCUAUCAGCUAGUUGGUGAGGUAACGGCUCACCAAGGCUUUGACGGGUAGCUGGUCUGAGAGGACGACCAGUCACACUGGAACUGAGACACGGUCCAGACACCUACGGGUGGCAGCAGUCGAGAAUUUUUCUCAAUGGGGGAAACCCUGAAGGAGCGACGCCGCGUGGAGGAUGAAGGUCUUCGGGUUGUAAACUCCUGUCAUUUGGGAACAAUGCUUACGUAUUAACUGUACGUGAGUUGAUAGUACCAGAAGAGGAAGAGACGGCUAACUCUGUGCCAGCAGCCGCGGUAAUACAGAGGUCUCAAGCGUUGUUCGGAUUCAUUGGGCGUAAAGGGUGUGUAGGUGGCGCGCUAAGUCGGGUGUGAAAUUUCGGAGCUUAACUCCGAAACUGCAUUCGAUACUGGCGUGCUUGAGGACUGGAGAGGAGACUGGAAUUCACGGUGUAGCA
rnacentral:rRNA from 1 species